rnacentral:lncRNA from 1 species
CGGGGGUUGGGGGGGGGGACUCCGCGCGCGCAGCGAGCUUGGCUGGGCUGGGCGCUCCCGCUCCCGGAGGCGCACACCUUGGGCCGUGGCGGUGGCGGUGGCGGCGGUGGCAGCGGCAGGCUGGGAAACUUUGCCCCUUUGUGCGCUCCGCCCCGGAGGCGGGUCCUGCGACCCUCAGUGAGGGGCUGCGUGUGGAUUUUAGUGAAACUCACUAGCCAGUAGAUGUAUGUGUGUGUGAGGGUGUGUGUGUGUGUGUACAGAGCAACUUUCUCAGAAAUCCCACCCCCUCAUCCCCUUGAGUGCCUUGUGCACCCUCACCCCCAUGGAGGUCCUAUGUACCUCCCUCUGAGGUUCUAAGGAGGACUUCGUUUGACUCAGACCCUGGCUUCCCCCAUUUUCUCUCUUCCCAGAAGCAGGAAGAGAUAACACGUGAAAGUUGUCCCUGAGCACCCAGUGAUGCACUUCCUCUUUCUGUGUCUUUUUCCCCUCUCAGGCAGCGUAGCCUUCUCCAUCAUCCUGACCCAGGGAGGGAGAAGUGUCAGGAGGAAACUCCUCACCCCAAUCUGCCCCACCACACACCCAUUGGCUCACCUCAUGCCUGAGCCCCGGGUGGGUGAGGGUGAAGAACCCACCCAGCCAAGAUGAAAUCUUCCUUGGGGGCUGCCGCCGCCACUGUCUUGCCCCAGAUCCUGGGGCCCUGCAGGUGGGAGACUGGUCCUGGAAGGAACCCUGUGAGCCGGCUGCAGAGGAGGUGAAGAGGGUUAAGAAGAGGCACCCACCCCAUCCCAUCCCAGAGGCGGAGCUCCUUGCCUUCACCCUUGUAGACUUGUUUAGGAGAGAAGGACCUGUUUGCAGGCAGCAGGAGACUGGACAGUAGUUUAACCUGGCACCUAUGCCCCCUUCCCUGGCAACGGCGGCAUCAUGAGCCAGUUUCAGGUGCCCUUGGCGGUCCAGCCGGACCUGUCAGGACUUUAUGAUUUCCCGCAGGGCCAGGUGAUGGUAGGGGGCUUCCAGGGGCCUGGGCUUCCUAUGGCUGGGAGUGAGACCCAACUGCGAGGGGGUGGAGAUGGGCGGAAGAAAAGGAAACGGUGUGGGACCUGCGAUCCCUGCCGACGGCUGGAAAACUGUGGGUCUUGUACCAGCUGCACCAAUCGUCGCACACACCAGAUCUGCAAACUCCGCAAGUGUGAGGUGCUGAAGAAAAAAGCGGGGCUUCUUAAGGAG